UCGACAAACCCCAGGAUGUAAGCAAUCCUAGGUACUCUGCGGAUCGUCAGAAAAUGGACUUAUCAGGUUUCAACACCAAACGAUUCGAUCGGUCUCGACGUAAAUGAAAUCGUCUGUUUUCCGCAAUCAACGUCAGCUCAUCAACUUUUCAACGGACUUUUUUUUCUUUUUUUUUAAUAAUCGGUAGGAAAACCGCCAACUCCAUUUACACAUUUAAAGUGAAUUUCACAAGUCAACUUGUAGGUACUUCAUAGUGGCACUCUCUAUGAUUGCACAUCAACCAGGAUAGUGAAAUCGUUAACGCAUCAUUGUGUCUCCAUCUUUUAGAGAUCAUUGUCCAUAGUCACGUAUGUAAUGAAGGCUUUGAAUUUUUACAUUGCGGUGAUACUGAUAUCAGUGCUUCUGAGCUUGCGGGUGAAUGGAAUGAAGAAUUCGGGGAGUUUCAGAAGAUCGUCAUCGAGUAAUGUGAGAACCAUCUGUUUCUCGGGCGUGUCGGAUCCCACGCAAUCGUAUGAUUGUCAAGACAGUUGCUAUCGUCAAUGGAGAGCACCUAGUCCUCGAGGACUAAUAGAAAAUUACCGCAAACUUCGUAUUGUCCAACCGCCUUUUGCAAAAGGCAUUCUCACUUGCUUUAAUCAGUGCGUAUGUUACGUCAACCCUGUUUAUCUACGGUUCCUUCCUGAUGAGGACAGAGUGAAGACCCUCUGCUUCCCCGACUCAUACUGCGCAGGGGCGUUUAAGAUACUGAAAGAGAUGUUCUCAAGCAACUACCAGCUGAGCGCAACCAAUCAUCCCGACACGAAGUACGAUUAUUGAAUUGAACUACAUUUUGCAAUUUGGAACUAUAUAUUCUAGCCCGGUUUAAAAACAACGUAUGUGCCAUUAGUUUCCCUAUGUUCAUAAGUGUUUUUCCAGAAGAGCCAUAAUUUAUAGUUCCAAAUUGUAAAAUGCAGUCCAAUGGACCACUAGACAAGGUACGGAUUUAAGCAUUUUGAUACAUGUUGCAUAACCAGAAUUUCACGUAAAGCACGAUUCGCGCAACGAAAACUAAUGAAACAAACUCCAAACGAAGAUAUUAUCGUUUUUAUUUCACAUUGGUUACGAGGAAUUUGAACUGCCCGCUGACAAGAAACUCAAAGCUCUACGAGAGUCAAAUCGCGCACUACAGCGGUUUCAAAAAGCUUCUCAAUCGAGUAAUGUUCAUUUCCCACCAUGUGUUGUUUAAACUAUAAGAAAUUUGCUACAGCUGAGCCAAAGCGUCAAGAUUGAGGUUGCCAGAUUUUUAUAUCGCAGAGACUGUCAUGAUAGCGUUUAGGGCCCGAUGUGAAUCACGCAGAGCAUUGUGGGUGGUUGCAGAGCGGGUGCUUUGAAUUCACUCAUCAAGAAUCAUUAAAUAUCUUUGGAAGGAGAUGAUUUCGGUAAUUUUCGUUGUGCGCAUCGUAUUCUACGUGAAAUUUUGGUCUGGAAACAUGCAUCAGAAUGCUGAAAUUCGUACCUUGUCCAUUGAAGAGGACCAUUCGAAGUAAGAUGUGCAGUUGGAUUACUGAAGUCUGACCGGUUGUUCCUUGUCAAUUUUGAAAUGUUGCCAGGCUUCGCUUUGAUUUUUCAUUGUAGUUCAAAGAAAAUUGUAAACUAAAUAUUAAAAUCAGUUUGAAAA
rnacentral:lncRNA from 1 species